CCUUAGAUGUUCUGGGCCGCACGCGCGCUACACUGACAGUCCCAACGAGUACGCUUGGUCGAGAGUCCUGGCUAAUCUUGUUAAAGACUGUCGUGCUGGGGAUAGAGCAUUGCAAUUAUUGCUCUUCAACGAGGAAUAUCUAGUAAGCGCGAGUCAUCAGUUCGCGUUGAUUACGUCCCUGCCCUUUGUACACACCGCCCGUCGCUACUACCGAUUGAAUGGCUCAGUGAGGCCUUCGGACUGGCUCAGGGAGGUCGGCAACGACCACCCAGAGCCGGAAAGUUGGUCAAACUUGGUCAUUUAGAGGAAGUAAAAGUCGUAACAAGGUUUGAAUAAUGCAUCCUUCUUGCAGUGACGCUUAUGAGAAGCCUUUGUGGCCCCGCAAGGUACUCGCCGCGACUAUAAACAAGCAUGUGGGUAUUAAAUCGCAAGUCAGUUCAGGCUGGCAACACUUUCGAAUUGCGGGGAUACCCUAAAGCCCAUCUCUACCAACUCAGCAGGGAAACUUAGCUGAGGGCCUGUGUUAACACCACAGGAUGGUAACAAGGAGAUGGGAUAAUUUAGUAUGGGUAAUCCGCAGCCAAGUCCCUAAGGUAGUUCUUUCUGCUAUGGGAAAGGUUCACAGACUAAGUGGAAGUGGGCUGGAAGAUAAGGUCUUCCAGCUUAAGAUAUAGUCGGGCCCUUUGAGAAAUCUUAGGGGAGUCACUAAAGCAAUUGAUCACAAUUUGACAAGCGGGAAUAAAAGCUGGUUAUAGUAAACAUCUUAAAUCUAUUCGACCUAUAAAACUCUCUUUUCUAUGCGGGGUGGGUUGAAGGGUUCAAUGAAGAAUAAAGUUGCUUGGGCCGUAGCAUCUAAGAGUAUGCACCGGCUAAGAAGUGUGUAACAACUUACCAAGUAAUGGGGUGUGAAGGAUUGGUUUGGGGUGUGCUGGGUACAUUAGGGUCUGUCCAUGUAUUCAACUCGUCUUCUAUUCUUUCAUCAUAUUCUUGUUCUACAUUGGCGCUUCUCUUCCUACUUCUGCUCGGGCACCUCGGUCUUCGUCCCUCUGCCCUCAAUGGAUACCUUCAAUCCGUCUAUCUCAACACUCAAUGCUGCCGUCCGGCAAGUUAUCAACAACAACAACUUCAUCCGAGAGAACCCUCACCUCACCGAUGUUGAGCUUCGAAGGCUGCGAGAAAACCUCGAAUGGCCUCGCAAGCCAGUCUAUACUCCGUAUGCUAUCACCCAUCAUGGUUAUUCCCAGAUGCGUGUGGCUGGGGUUAAAGUUAUGACGCAUCGAAUCACAUACUGGCAAUAUACGCAGCAAAACCCGAAAAACUAUGAUAUCUCACAUACUUGUUUCUUGGGUGGGCGGACUACUCGCAACAUCAACCCGCGGUUUUUCGAGCUUGAGGACAACAAUCUAAAUCAGUCCCGCAAAUGCUGUCAUAUGUUUAUUGAGCGGCAGCUCAAGAAACGAUUUGCAGUGCUUGUUGGUCCUGACCCUCCACCCCGACUUUGUGCAGAGGGUUUCCAAGAUUGGUUCGAGCGGGAGUGCCUCCAGCCUAAUGGGGCGUGCAGAGAGUUGCAUUCUAGCAAUCUCUGUACUACCUGUUGGACUGAAUGGCUCCAGGACUUUCAAGAAGAGAUUCUGUUAGUGCCUGCAACAGACCCUGCCGAAUCAUAUCAGGAAGCCCUUGUGCGACUGUCCUCUCCUCCUCCGCCUACCUCCUCUCCACCACCAUCCUCUCCUCCUCGGCCAGCAUACAAUUAGGAUUCCUGGGAAAGAGUUUAUACUAGAUAGAAUUUAAAGAAUAUAAAGAUGUUGAAAGAACUUUGAUGGCUUCUCUCCCCUUGUUAACAUACAAGGUCAAUCUCCAAUUUUGGAAUUUUGGACAUACUGUUCCGUAGGUGAACCUGCGGAAGGAUCAUUACCAAAAAAUUAAAAGCCUCCUAGUAACACCAUUGCUUGGAUGGCUGCCUGGCGGGAGCAACCCUCAACCGGGUCCCGCCUAGGUUUUUCAACCAUGUGAACCAAAACCUUUUUCGCUUCGGCAGCACGCCUGGCUGGGAGACCAGUCUGCGCGGUCAGCCUGCCGGCAGCACCCAAUCUAAACUCAAUUGUAACCAAACUUUCUGUCUGAAAACAUAUUUUCGAAUGAAAAUUAAAACUUUCAACAACGGAUCUCUUGGUUCUCGCAUCGAUGAAGAACGCAGCGAAACGCGAUAGUUAAUGUGAAUUGCAGAAUUCAGUGAAUCAUCGAGUCUUUGAACGCACAUUGCGCCCCCUGGUAUUCCGGCGGGCAUGUCUGUUUGAGCGUCAUUUCAACCCCUCGUGUAGUUGACUUUUUGUCAGCCGGCACGGUGUUGGGCUCCCAACCGGCCUUCAAAAGCCGGUGGGCCUUAAAGUUGAACGCUCUGCUGGUGACUCAAACCGAACCGAACAUAGUAAUCUCUCUUGUUCAGCCUAGGUAGAGACCACCAAGCCUGUACAAAACCUCAUUUUCUCAGGUUUGACCUCAGAUCAGACAAGGAUACCCGCUGAACUUAAGCAUAUCAAUAAGCGGAGGAAAAGAAACCAACAGGGAUUGCCUCAGUAACGGCGAGUGAAGCGGCAACAGCUCAAAUUUGAAAUCUGGAGUCUUCGACUUCCGAGUUGUAAUUUGAAGAGGAUGCUUCGGUUGUGACCAUGGUCUAAAUUCUUUGGAACAAGAUGUCAUAGAGGGUGAGAAUCCCGUCUACGGCUGAUGGUCUACUUCCAUGUGUAGCUCCUUCGAAGAGUCGAGUUGUUUGGGAAUGCAGCUCUAAAUGGGUGGUAAAUUUCAUCUAAAGCUAAAUACUGGCGAGAGACCGAUAGCGCACAAGUAGAGUGAUCGAAAGAUGAAAAGAACUUUGAAAAGAGAGUUAAACAGUACGUGAAAUUGUUGAAAGGGAAGCGCUUGCAAUCAGACUUGCUUGCGGUUGAUCAACGUUCCUUUUGGUGCGUGCACUCUGCCGUUCGCAGGCCAGCAUCGGUUGAGGCGGUGGGAAAAAGACUGCGGGAAUGUGGCUCUCUUCGGGGAGUGUUAUAGCCCGCUGUGUAAUGCCACCUGUCUCGACCGAGGACCGCGCGUAAGCUAGGAUGCUGGCUUAAUGGUUGUAAGCGAC
rnacentral:rRNA from 1 species